GGAAGGUGUGUAUGUGCAUGUGCAUGCCUGUGGGAGCAUGGUGUGCGCCUGCGCGUGGGCUGUACUGAGGAUUGGACCAAGGCCUUCCUGCCGAUCUUUAUCCCAACCCCUUUUAAUUUUGUCUUUUUUUCAAGACAGGACCUCACUAAGUCACCCAGGCUGGACUCAAACCCGUGAUCCUCCUGCUUCAGCUGCUCAAAGCACUGAGGUUACAGGACAGUCUGCCAGGCCACCCUUGGAGCCAGCCGACUAUGGACUGAACCCUCUACAAACUGUGAGGUUUCCAAGUAGCUGGAGUUGUAACCAUGGAGCAGCGCACACAGCUAGUAAUAGGUGUCAGAUGUUAUGUCCCAGCAAUGAGAAAGUAACUAAGGCAGGUACAGUGAGCAGCUCUUCGCAGUCCUGAAGUCCAUGUUCCCAGGCACCAGCCACAGGUCAAGCUCAGAAGUGGGUAUUUGGAGGACAGCAGUCUCAAGCUUGCCAUGUGGGAAACAUCUAUCACUGAGCCGAUCGUGCUUGACAUGGGCGUCACACUUAGGGGACAGGUUGAGAGCGCAAAUACGGAACACGGCCAUUAGUGCCAUCUCAGUCCCCACCAGCUCCUCGACCUCGGUCAGCUCCUCAAGCUCCAGAGCCUCUGGAUCUUCAGACUGUCACCUGGUGGCACCUCCCUUCCUGAUCACCCAGGGCACUGGAUGACAGAUUCCCGCCAAGUGCUGGACAGGUGUUUGCAGAACAUAAUGCUGACACACGUCACGGGGAGUUGGUGAGUGUACAGAACACAUCUGAAUACCUUUUAUGUCCCCCCCUUCAUCUCUUGGUCCCCUUUCAUUUGCAAAAGCUCCAUCUUCCUGUUUCCCUGUAUCUACCUUUUAUUUUGCUCUUUAUUUACAUUUUGGGUUCUCUCAUGAGGCAAAGUAUGUGACAUUCCAGCUCUUAUGUCUCUUGGCUCCUGUCACCCUAAUGCUCCUCUGUCCCCUGCACCUCAUUGCCCAUUGGGGAGCAAGUGGAUCUCCCAAUCUAUCCCAUCCUUUCAGUCCCCACUGCCAGUCUUAAUCCAGGCUCCCUCUGGUCUGACUGGCAACAGGAGUUUCCUAAGCAACCUUCCAGGCUCCAGUCUUGCCCCUCUUCGUUCUCUCCUCAUUUCUCGCUGGCUUUUUCUGCAAGGUGGCUGAGUGCAAUGGCUCUCAGUUCCUCAUGGGGACAAAGCUCUGCUUUGCCUGGAGUCGCUUCCUCUGCCUCCGCCUGCCCAGAGCCACCUCCACAGACCGCCCUCUGCUCUCUGCUGCUGCCCCCCCAGAACGCCUUCCUCUGAGGUGUCUGUGUGAGUCCUGUCCCAGCACUCACUCUGGGACAGGAGCAUCACUGAGGAGCCCAGGAGCCUCCAAAGGCUAGGUCUCUGUCCUGUUCCACUCUGCUGCACCUCUGGAACGUAACUCAGGCCUUGGCCAUCGCAGGAGAUAGUGUCUCAGAGUCUCACGAUGUAGCUCAUGCUGGUCUGAAACUCCCUAUGUGACCCAGGCUGGCCUCAAAACUUUUUUUUCUUCAGUAUUGAGGAUUGAGCCCAGGGCCUUCACACUAAGCUAC